rnacentral:lncRNA from 1 species
CCACUUCUGUGUCUCUAACAACUUCUCCUCAAAACUCUUUGCCCUGUUGAUGGAAAUGGAAUCAUUGCCAAUCAACUAAUCCAGAAGUGUAAAACUAAAAGUAGCAAAAUGAUCUGGGCGAAUCACCAUAUUAGCAAUGAUGUGUUAAAAUCCUCUUCUUGUUGGUUCUUGUCCAUAAUGUUGUUCUUUGAAUUCUCUACAUUACAGCUAUUGCAUUUUAAAUCAUUUUCUUUAGUAAUAACUGUUAAACAUAUUUCAUGUUUGUAUUUCUACUUCCUAGUUUUGGCAGACAGAAGCAGCAAGCCUGAGACAACAACUGCAGUACUUGCAAGAAAGCCAUAGGUAAAAUAAAUAAAUAUAUAAAUAAUAAGCACCUAACAGUUGCAUAAUUGUAAUAGGAGUAUUGAACCUAACAUGUUAAUAAUGACCCUUUUUUGCUAAAAGAUUAGUACAUUAUUCUGGGGUGAGGGGGCAUAAAAAGGAAAGAAAAGGGGAAGUUUUGCCAUCCAUUUCAGAUGAAAAUGUAUUUUUGUAUUUUCUUUUCGGUAAAAGCAGGCAAUUGAUGGGUGAAGGACUUGCUGGUUUGGGUAUUAAAGAACUGCAAAAUCUGGAAAACCAGCUGGAGAUUAGUCUAAAGGGUGUUCGAAUGAAAAAGGUAUGCAGGAUCAAUUCAAAUCUCAUCCAUUCAACAUUACGUAUUUGUUACGGCACAUUAAUGACUAUUACACUGUCAUUUAUUUCCCUGUAGGAUCAUAUUUUGACUAAUGAGAUCAAAGAACUACACCAAAAGGUAUUGGGAGUCUGGUUUUCUAGCUGUAUUAGACUAAGCUUUCCCACAAAUUCUGACCAAUUUCCAUUAAUGCCAUUGUAGGGAUCUCUUGUUCAUCAAGAAAAUGUAGAACUCCAUAAGAAGAUGGACCUUGUCCAAAAAGAAAAUUCAGAGCUACUGAAGAAGGUAAAUGAUAAAAAAAAAUGUUAAUCAUCUUCACGUAAAUACAUACACAUCAUAAAAGACUGAACACACACAGACACAACCAUAUCUGCACAACAUGUUUUUCAUUAGGCCAAAUACUACUACAUCUAGAAGCUAAAAAGCUUCAAUACACAUCAUAAAAGACUGAACACACACAGACACAACCAUAUCUGCACAACAUGUUUUUCAUUAGGCCAAAUACUACUACAUCUAGAAGCUAAAAAGCUUCAAGUUAACUUGUGCUAAACCUAAACAAAAGAUUUGGAUAUUAGGUUUAUGAAGCAAGGAGUACAAAUGAAGAAAAUGCAACAAGCAAUCUUUCAUGCACUAUCAGAAACGGAUUUGAUUUACAUGCACCUAUCAGUCUCCAGCUAAGCCAGCCACAGCCUCAAUACAGUGAACCAGCAGCCAAAGCCAUGAAAUUAGGGUAUUCCCUUAAACUGAUGAUGUACAACAUAUAGCUUCAGUGUACACCUUUUCUUUCUAAUUUCUUCAAAAACUAAACGCCUAAAUUCUGAACCAGAUUACAGCUGCAUUAGCAAGAACUGUUCGAUAAUCACCUAUGCUUUCAAUUCUGAAAAGUUGUCACGAACCAGUUCAAACAUGUAAUCAUGCUGAUAUGUGUGGGAUCUUGUAGUUCAACAACCACAUUGUUCAAUUCAACAGAAUAGAGUAUGAUAUUUCCUAUCAAGAAGCUUACAAUUGCUAUUAAGGAUCAGACAUAAUGAUUGCCUCUGUAAAUUUUAUGAAAUAAAGAUAUCAAUGAUUGUGCCUUGUGUUGUUUUAUAUAAUUUCUACAUCUCUCAUGAUCAAUUUAAUGGAAUUUGGAACAUAACUACUUUGUGCCUGCCUAUACAUGUGUAGUUCAUCCUGUCACGGUAAUUAUUUUAUUCCUCUCAAACGAUAAGCAUGACUUGCGAUUCUUCAUAAUGAAUUAUACAUAAGAAUUACCAAACAAUAACGUGGGAACAGAGAUAUCCCUGAAUGUGACUCAAUAAUCUUGUAUUGAUCAGCCAGGUAUAUAAUGCUACAACAUAAAUAUAGGAGUAGACAACUUACAUUUAGGCCUCCUCCGGAUAUAUCUAACACACAUUCAGCAGAAACAGAAAGUUAUCUACCGGGAAUAGGAAAAACUUCAUGUUUAGAAGCACACCCAAAAAAGUAUAUACAUAGUUAAAGCAUCUGAUAUUCUGAUCAAAAUUUCAAUCAUUUAUUAGUAUGCAUAUCGCAGCUGACAUCACAAAUACACAAGGAAAAAGUUACCAUGUAUAUGGGCACUGUCUCCAUAUGUUUGAGAAUGCACAAAUGGUUGUGUAGAAACAAUCAUUCUUGACUAAUCCAGGAAGUCCUCAUUCCAUUUGGAAGAGAACUCAGCUGUAGGGUGACAUCACUGACUGUAUGAUUAUAAGAGUUAAAUGAAUUGCAACUGUGUUCAGAAAAUUCAGAUACAAACAAUUUUUUUUGGGGGAAAUAACUAUUAGCUAAUACCUGAUAGCACACAAUUAUGUCUAAGCAAAGUUGCAGCAUUUCAUAUUCGCCCUAAACCCUACAUAUUGACGAUCAAAGGUAUAACGUUAAUCACAUAGCCACAUGUCAUGUGGCACAAUCCCCGUGGUCUCACUAUCACACUAGUGAAAAGUCACAAGAGCAACAGUAUAUGCCAGUAAGUGAAAACACUUACCUAAUGAAAAGGGUGGCCAUCAACAGUAUCACAUCAAAUGGCUAAAAUAAAUAACAGUAUCAACAAUACAACUGGAAAAACAGUGGAAAGGUAUGUUAUAGCACUUAUUAUUUUACAAAUUUUUUAUACAUAAAAUUAGUAUGAGAUUGCCAAUAAUAACAAUAAAGUUGCUUUUCUUGUGGAUGCAUCAGGUGUGCAAUAGAACAAUUUGGUGGGCUAUCAAAGUCUAGGCCUAUACUCUCACAGGUCAACCCUGGAUUACUAUAAAGAUCAAAUUCAUCAGAAAAGCAAAGUUCGUGUGCGUGAACCGUGAAGGCCAGUGAAGGCAAAAUAUAAAGAUUUUACACAAGGAAGCCUAUAAUGAGUAAAAUUCGAUUUGUUAUGAACCAAUCUAUGUAGCCCAAAAAUUGUUAAACCACAAUCCUAAAGUACAAAAAUUGUUAUGAACCAAUCAUGUACAGAAAGCAAAUGAUUCCUGUAGUUCCAAUCUUUUCAUAGGUGACGUGAAUAUUCAAAUGAUUCCUGUCUAUAUUUAAAAAAAUGGUAAUUGUAGGGCUGUUCAUGGGCUUUAAAGCAAAUGCACAAGUUAUCAACAUUACACGGAUGAAAUAAAGGACAUUGAUGUUUAUAGAAUGAUUAUAAAUUUUGUCUUAAAGCAUACUUCAAGGUUCAAGAGCAACCACUAUAAGCAUUCAAAAAUAUCUGAUUGCAUGAUUUAUCAGCAUGAGGGGACGGAUCUAUUGAUAAUAUAUUUAGUAGAAUAAACCACCAGGAAGCAGUAAAGCCUGACCAUGGGUCAAACUGAACUGGGUCAUCCAUAUUGAUUUUGGACAAUAUUAAAUAUUAUACUAGUGAGAGAUGGGCAGUGUGUUGGACCUCUCAUUAAAAAAUACUAUGUAAGGAAGGGAAACCAAAACUGACUUGGCAGUUUUUGUAUCAAUUUCUGUGUCAGUAAGUAACUAUUUAUGAGCAGUUACUUUCUAGUGUGUAUGUGUGUGUGUAUUUUCUGUUGUACUAGGAAUAAAUACGGAAAAGUCAGAACAGAACAUAGUUGGUUAUCCUAGACUAUUGUGUGAUUAUUUGGAAAAGGAGAGACACAAGGCUCUCAAACCCUUGUGGAAACUGUGACUGUGUUAGCUUGUCCUGUGUAAUUUCAAUUUUGUGCAAGUGUGUUUAACUGUGUACUACUGUCUCUGAUUUGGGAACUCUUCCCCAGAGAAUAAUUCAAUAAAUUAAUUGUUAUUUAGUUAUGAAUCCUAUUUUUGUACCAGUUGCUAUCAGUGUUUCGAUAUCUGAGAAAACUCUCAUCAUAAGCCCUCUGCUUCAUCUUUAAAGAAGAUUUUUACCAAACCACAGUUCACUGGCCCUCCUCUCCUGCCUACCAUCUUAAGUGUUCCAUUUGCUAAAAGCCAUGUUACAAGAAAAUGAAAUGAUAGAAAGCAGAACUAGGGGAGUAAUUACAGAUUUGGGUAAAUCUAAAACAUCGCUGCAAGUUACAAGGGUCUAUUUGUUUUUAAAAAAUGAUUUCGGGUUCCUUUGAUUAAGCUUUAAAAAAAUGAUUUUGUUUUGAAAAAAUCUAGAUAUUCAUUUAUGGAGANNNNNNNNNNNNNNNNNNNNNNNNNNNNNNNNNNNNNNNNNNNNNNNAAACUAAAGCUAAUUUACGUUUGUUUACUGUCUAAAAAAUCUUCUUUUUUUUUUUAAAAUGGGAAGCUCCUACACUUAGGUUCCUUAAUUUUAAAAAAAAAAAUAGAUUCUUGAAAAGCUAUUAGGAUUAACUUUUCAUUUUGGGGUUAAAAAUGAUUUUUUUUACAGAAUGAUUUUCUAAAAAAUCUAUAACAAACAUUAUCAAAAUGAUAAAAUAGAUUUUUUGUUAAAAAAAUCCAAAACAAACAGACCCUUCAUUUUCUGUGUUGGCAUUUAUUUGCAAAACAGACACCUUUUUAACUUUGUUUCCUUUUACCAAAUAUUUGAAAGCAAAAUUGUAAAUAAAAGUGAAAAUUGUUUUCACUGCCUCCUUCACAAAUACUUUAAAACAACAAAGCAGGAGAAAACAGAGUGGUAGUUUUGUGAAUAAAAGUGACAAUAGGAAAUGUUUCUUUUCUUAACUAAGACACCUCAGGUUUAAACCACAACCGUGUAAAUGUUAUUUCAUUCUCUUCUCAAUUAGGAUAUAGGUUUAUAUGGUAGUUAGUUACUAGUUAGCUAAAUUUCUGGGCUGAGACUCAACUUGUCAGCUUGUAAUUAAAUACAAUCUAUAAGAGAAUUCUCCAGCUGGAGAACACAAUUUUUGGCUUACAUUACAUUUCUCUGAAUUUGCAAAUAAAGUAUCUAGAAGGCUUGUAGAACUCUUUUUUCCAACAAUCAAGAAGUAUGCCUCUAUACACCAGUUUAAUAAGUUUCAUUUUUAGUUGACAGAAAACCAAAUCCCAAAACAAACCCAACAUUUGCAUAACCAUAUAAUGAUUUUGUUAUACACUAGGUGUUGCCUAUAAAGCCCACUGUGUUGUACCCAUAUCUGAUAUCAUACGUGGAUAAUACUCCUAGUAUAUGUAUCCGUAAAACAAAACAAGAUAAAAACAAAGAACUAUGGAAACUGCUCCUGAGAGAUAUUCAAAGCUCCUCUAAUGUAAAAAACUUAUCCUACAAGAUAAUCUAAAAUGAUAUUAACAUGUUGUAAGAUAUAUUCCAAUCAUUUAACACUCCAGCUCAAGUUUCAUAAGUUUGUUAUAUUACAAAAGAGAAAAAUAACCAAAUAAUAUAAUUUACAUUGAAUUGGGAAGUUGGGACUAAAUCACAAUUGGGACAGGAUAACUUGUGUCUUAAGACAAAAUCAAUGCCAAACUACAACUGAGACAAAACCAGUGCCAAACCACAACCGAGACAAAACAAAUGCCAAACCACAACUGAGACGAAGAAACCAAUGUUUUCAAAGAAACACAUCAAACCAUAGGUCAGAUCAGAGAAGCAAGGGUAGAUCAUAUAAUGUGGAGGUGCCGCUGGAGUUGCUAAUAGUGGAAAAAACCAAAUUCUAAUUAGACCCACAGGACAAAAGUGGCCUUGAUAAAACUAAGAAAAUCCCACAAACCAAACUUGACCAGCAACGUGGUGAACAGGCAGUAAGAAGGUUACACGCGGCCUUCAAAUGCCGACUGAAACAAAAAGCUUGACGGCUGAAAUGUAAAGGCAAUGUCCUACCUCAGUUAUACUAGUUGAAGUUCUAGGGUAUUGGAUAAGCAGAAAGAGAAAAAUUAAAGUGUGCAUUUGAUCUGCUAAAAAUGAGGGAUGGGACAAAUUCAGUUGUACAAUGUUUGAUUUUAAAACUAUUUAUGGGACUAGACAAAUUGGGGGUAAGGGACUGGACAAAAAUAUUAAUGUGCCUCACUAAACCACAAGACAAUUUUUUGUCCCAGAUAUAAGUUGUUUAAAACAACAAAAUAAUCUUUUGUCCACAUAAACAUCAUACAAGACAAGAAGUUGUUCAAUACCUUAAAACUUUGUCAUGUAUUGUUUUGUCCUAUGUAGUACUUAUCUUUUACAAAUCAAACGGGCCUAAGACUUUGUAUUACGAAUAUGGUUUAGAAUGAUUAUUAUUAUUAUUAUUUGAUACAAAAAGACUAAACAUUAACCUUUUUUAUAGGGAAACAAAUCAUGAUAAAGCAAAGAAAUAUAAAACUAAUCUUAAGAGAUAUUCUAAGAUAAGAAACUAAUCCUACAAGAUAAUCUAAGAUACUCUAGGAUAAUAUCAAGAUAUUAUAAGAUAAUUUCCAAUCUUCUGACACUUGGAACGAUAAAACUAUAUUGAUAGUUUUUUUUUUUUUUGAAUUACUAUAUUGAUAUUGUUAAGAGUACCAACAUUGGAUGAGAUAAGCCUUGAACAUGGAUUUAUAUGUAGAGGCAGUCCUCUCCUUACAAGCCGGUUUUGUAGAGUUGAGUUAGGCCCAACUCAAAAUCCAUUGGGCCACCUUCUAUUAGGUUUCCUCUAUCGGACCACCCACCAUUUAUAUCCAUGCACCAAGCUCAAUAGUGUUGGACGCGAGGGGGUAUGUUAAGAGUCCCAAAUUGGAUGAGAUAAGGCAUGGACAUCAGGACAUAGGUUUAUAAGUAAAGGCAGUCCUCACCUUACAAGCCGGUUUUUUAGGGUUGGGUUAGGCCCAACGCAAAUUCUACGAGAUAUUAAUGUAAAUGAUAUAUUGGAUGUUAUUUCAAAUGUCAGGAUAAUCCUUAUUAAUACUUGCACAAAACUUUAUUUUCAUUACAUAAGUAUGAGGAUAUAUGGAAAACAGUUAUAUCUAAAUUGUCUAAAUUACUCUAAGAUACACCUUCGAUAUUAUGAGAUAUUGUUCAUGUAUUCUAAUAAUGCAAUUAACUGCAUAGUUAUAGGACCUAAAAUGAUAUAUGAGAUUCAAAGUAGGACGACAACUAAUCAACAAAAAAGUCAGCUCGCGUAGAGAUGAUAAUGUUAAAUUGGUUGAGCAGUGUCACAAAGCCAAGAAAAAUCAAGAAUACAAUAAUGAGAAAAAAAAAUGGGGUAUUCAUGUUUUUCUUUAUAAACUCGUGAAGCGUACGUAGACUGAAUUAGUAAACUCGUAAGAGUUUGAAGGAUGACUCUUCCUGAUUCUAACAUGAAACAAGAUUGAAAGUGAGAAAACUCAUUUUUCUUACAUAGAAUUGUAGAAUUGAGUUGACUUGAUAGAUUGACAACCUUGGUUAUGUCAACAUAAAGCUUAUCAGGCGGCCAAGAGGCAUCUAUCAUUUUUCUAGCUCUACAAGAUCCCUAAUAUUUGUGUUAUAAUCAAAUGACCCCUUUUUAAUUAUGUUGUUAUUUUCUUUCAGUAAACUUAACUCUCCAACUACCUAGUGAGAUUAUGCAUGAUUACAUUUGAAAACAGGUAAUCAACCUUCCUUUCUCUUUCAUGAGACAGUUAAAGAUAAUGCCAUACCUCUAAUAGAUCAUAAAAUGAAAGACAUGUGGAUGUAAGAUUCUUGUUAUUAUUGCAGCUGCAUAGCUAAUCUGAAGACAAUACUCCAGUUCAACGUGCAUCUUUUCUGGAUACAAAUAAGGGGGAGAUGUCAUGAUUAUUUAUCAAUGAAUAGAAAAUGACUAUAUAUUAAAAUUAUAGGAAUGCAUGUUUACAAUAACUUGGUAGAUAAUGAUAGGUAAAUUAAUUGUGAACUUGUCUUACAAACAACUAUGCUUGGUAGAAAAAUGACAAAGUAGACUUAGUUUUUAUUUUUGAAUUCCUCGUGUGCUUGGUAGCGUGUCUCUUCAUAUUAAAUUCUUAGAAAAAUAUUUCAUAUCCAAUCAUUAAUCAUGGGAAGCUUGUUUAGCAAUACAUUGGAAACAUGACUCCGUUUAAACUUUUGCUACAAACAACAACCAUAAUUUCAAUGAAACAUUAGCAUUUUUUAUCAAGAAAUUACGCAAAUUUUCUUCCAAUACAAAAUCAUAUUUUCCUCUCUUUUAUAGGACUAAUUAUAGUGUGACUAGUAAGGAAGACGGAUCUUGAAAGUUAAAUGAGUUGCAGCUGACAAGAUUUGGUUGAAGAUUCCCGAACCUUCUCCUCUUUAUCUUGAAAGCACUAAAUUGGAUAUAUUGACAUCAUUUUUCAGUAACUAAACUAGCACUUAAAUUAAUUCAAGAUUAUGACCUAAUUAUAUCUUUUUGAAAAUAGGGAUGUUUGCGUAAAUAACUCAAUUCAGCACUUAUUUGAUAAACACUUAUCAUACAAGUUGUUUUCACAAUCAAAGGUAAACCAAGGGUAAACUCUACAUAAACUGUGUAUUCUAUAAGUUAUCUUAGAAAAAUUAUAAAAAUAAAGAGAAAAACAUGUCAUGAGCAUAUUAUAAGCUCGUCCAAAAACUGACACAAGUGUUUAUGUCUUACAAUAAUUCCAAAUAAGCUCUUCUAAAGUUCCCCUUAAAACUCUAAGCUAAGUCCACUUUAUUUUUUAAGUGACUAAAGUCCACCUUAAUUGUCUACAUAUACUACAUUAUACAAAAUCUUAUAAACCAAACUGUAAAUAGAAAGGAAAUGAAAGAAAAUUAUCAUAAAACCAGUGCCCUUGUUAAAAUUGUAGAGAUAUAUGCAUGUGAUGAAAAUUCAUUCAUUCAUCCAAUACUCCCUACAUAGUACUCCUUCUAGUCUAAUAUAUAAGCAAACAUAUAUAAGUAAAGAUUCUUUUUUUUAUGUUCAUUGAAUAACUGAUGUAUCUAUCUGGUCUAUAUAUGACCAGAUACAUUGGUUAUUCAACGAACCUGAAAAUAAAUAUUUGCUUAUAUAUGAGACCGGAAGGAGUAAACCUAAUUACAUUAAUACUCUCACAGUUAUUAUUUGUAACUAACUACAUUAGCACACUAAUGCAAACACAAUUAUAAGGUCACCAAGGCAUUAAUGGAUCGAAAAUUGUGAGAAAAAAAAUAACGCACUAUUACUUGAUUAUGACAAUAGAAUUUCGAGAACGAUUUCAGUAUUUGACAUGCAAAGAUGAAGAUAAGGAAAAUAUAUAUUAAAAUAAUGAGUUAGUAUAAAUAGAAGGAAAAAAAUGAAAACCUAGAGAGAUUUUUGUGGAUUGAAGGCCGGAAUUUUGAUGAGAAGGCGGCGGAAUGAGUGAACCACCGUGAAGAUAGGGCAUGACGGGGAGAAUGAAGAAGAGAAGAAACGAAUCGGUCGGAGUGAGUGACGUUGGGAUGCGAGCGAGAAGAAUGUGUUUGGCUUUUGGUAAGCAAAGGGAACGAACGAAAGGGUUCGGUUCGUUUCUAACCAAUCACAAGACGAAGAUCCUCCGCGGUGUCCAACUACCAACUGAAUUCUCAAUUUUAUUUUCAAUAAAUAAUAAAUGGGUUUCAACUCCGAAACAUUCAUACCAUCUGAAUUAAGUUUACAGAACGACUUGUUUUAAGUUUAUGUGAAUUUAUCUAUUACUAAUAUAUUAAAAUUAGGGUUAUGUUAACUUGUGUCCUAAGGAC